GAAAAUUCACAAAAAAUAUCAAAUGACAAAAUAAAAAAUAUUAAAAAUCAAAAAUAGAAACUAGAAAUUAUUUGGGAAAUAAUGCAAUUGGUCCCAUAAUUUUUGGAUAAAAAAUGAAAGAGAUAUUAAUUUUUGAAAUAAAAAGGAAUUUAAGAAAAUAAAAUGGAAUUAAAACAGAAAAUAAAAAAAAGGAAAAAACGAGAGCCCUUGGAUCUGAGCUCAUUAAUUGAGUUGGCAGAUCCAAGGAUCCAGAGGCGCCCGCUCAUGGAACACCAAAGUCAAAGCAAUCA
rnacentral:lncRNA from 1 species